UUCUUGAAGCUAUUCGAGUGAUAUGCAGAGAUUGGGUGAAUCGCUCUUGUAAAUUGCGGAAAAGACUCUCAACUCUACAUCUAUCAGGCAAGUACACACUUAAGAUGAAGUUGUUGGGCGGGAACGGGAACCAAAUGACUUGCAUCACCUUCGAUUUCUCAAUUGGGUUCGGAUCACCCAUCAGCGAGGGUUAAGGUCGAGGCAUGGAUGGGGGACAGCUCUCGUCUACAUCUCGUGUAAGUUUCGAAUUUGAAUCACUACGUGGAUAGUUAAUUUCACUCGAAUAUUGUGAUCGUUCUAGCAGAACUCUGUAUGUAUGCUCAUUCUCCUUUGGAUUGUGAAAACACAAGCAAAUGCUAUAUCCACCUAUUUAGAUGAUAUUACAUUGUUCAUAUUUAGAAGUUAUUGGGUUUGUUUGGAUGCACUAUCGUUUUGAAUUGCAAUUGUUAGUCUAAUAAAGUGGGUUAAAAAAAAGUUCAAAUCAUGAACUUCUCUAGCAUUUAUAUUUGGGGAUCAUUGCUCGAGAUUUCAAUUAGUAAUUUGAUGUGGGAUGUGAAAGGAAAUGCAACUACGAAUUGAGGGCUACUUCCUGUUAUGAAUACUAGGAAACAUCAUUCAUUUAUGUUAUUUCCUCAUUUAACAAACUGUUCAGAAUUCAAUUUGCUCAUGCAUCCAAGCACAGCCUUUGUGUA